GAUUUCUGGUCUAAUGCACCUGGCCCGCAGCUCUUUAGGCCUGUGAGUGCCGGCGCGCGUUUACCAUCCUUCUAGGAAACGAGUCUUCCCUUCACUGGGCCGGAUUCGGGAUCUAGAUCAUUUACUUUGAAAAAAUUAGAGUGUUUAAAGCAGGCUUAUGCUAUGAAUACAUUAGCAUGGAAUAAUAAUCUAGGACUUCGGUUCUAUUUUGUUGGUUUCUAUAACUGAAGUAAUGAUUGAUAGGGAUAGUUGGGGGUGCUAGUAUUGGCCGGUCAGAGGUGAAAUUCUUGGAUUCGGUCAAGACUAACUUAUGCGAAAGCAUU
rnacentral:rRNA from 1 species